rnacentral:rRNA from 1 species
GAUGAACGCUAGCGGCAGGCCUAAUACAUGCAAGUCGAACGAUACCAAGGAGCUUGCUCUUUGGAAAAGUGGCGCACGGGUGCGUAACGCGUAUGCAACCUACCUUAAUCAGGGGGAUAGCCUCUCGAAAGAGAGAUUAACACCGCAUAACAUCAUUGAAUGGCAUCAUUUAAUGAUCAAAUAUUUAUAGGAUUAAGAUGGGCGAUGCGUGACAUUAGCUAGUUGGUAAGGUAACGCUUACCAAGGCUACGAUGUCUAGGGGAUCUGAGAGGA